rnacentral:rRNA from 1 species
UACGUAGGGGGCAAGCGUUGUCCGGAAUCAUUGGGCGUAAAGCGCGCGUAGGCGGCCCGGUAAGUCCGCUGUGAAAGUCGGGGGCUCAACCCUCGGAUGCCGGUGGAUACUGUCGGGCUUGAGUGCGGAAGAGGCGAGUGGAAUUCCCGGUGUAGCGGUGAAAUGCGCAGAUAUCAGGAGGAACACCAAUAGCGAAGGCAGCUCGCUGGGACGUUACUGACACUGAGGCGCGAAAGCGUGGGGAGCGAACAGG